UGUCAUUGGUAUGGAAACCCAGGUGGUGGGUUCACCUCCUGGGCAAGAUCGAAUCCCGGUCACAGUGGUUGGUACCAGUGCAGUGGACUCACCACCAGGAAGGUUCAGGGGGGUUGGUGCGGUGCAGUGUGAUUUGAGUGGUGGUCAUAGAGACUGCUGCCCCCGCGACCCGGUAACGGGUAAGCGGACGAAAAUGGAUGGAUGCUAUAUAUGGGUUGGGUAUUUUAACGCAGUAUUAGCGUGUUAACGUAUAAAUAAAGAGCGACACAUAUUUUAUCGCACAUUAAUCUAAAAUGUUUGAACGUUCGUUAGCAGUAGAUGCUAAUGAUUGGUCGGCUUCUGUCUACACGAUCUCUUCAACCACGGCGGCCUGUGACGUGUGUCUGCUGUUGCACUUGUGUUUCAUACACACAGCGCUGGUGAAUAUGCUAACGCAGUUACUGGAACCGUUGCUGCUGAUGUUGUGACCACAGCUUCUUCUAUUUCACCACAACUGUCCAGACUCUACACCUACAACUCACAGCCUUUUUAUAUUUUGUUUUGAUUUGUGACGGUGGCGCUGGACUCUCAGGGUGAAGCCCUGAUGAUCUCCCCAUAGCUCCUGCUGAUAAACCUCCUGGAGACCCUGCUCUUGGCAGGUUCCAAAGGACCAACGAGAUAUGAGAUUUUCAACAUUGGGCUGGUUUAUGCCAUUAUUGUCAAAGCAGAAGGUCAAAUGGACAGAGGGGUGUUGAUUGGAGGCACAACCUGGGUCACUGACCCUCUCACUCAGGGUCUCCAGCUCCUCCUGCUCCUGGUAGCGCUCAACUCCGUGUCCUAUUUCGCCACCAUGAGGAUUAAGAGGGUAGUCAAGGCCGGUCAGCUGAGCAUGGUGGUGCCAACGCAGG